GUUCCUUUAGCGCAAUGGGUAGUUCAUUGGACAUUUAAUCCAAAGAUCGUGGGUUUCUAUCCCACCUGGAAUG